rnacentral:rRNA from 1 species
UACGUAGGUGGCAAGCGUUGUCCGGAAUUAUUGGGCGUAAAGCGCGCGCAGGCGGUCCUUUAAGUCUGAUGUGAAAGCCCACGGCUCAACCGUGGAGGGUCAUUGGAAACUGGAGGACUUGAGUACAGAAGAGGAAAGCGGAAUUCCACGUGUAGCGGUGAAAUGCGUAGAGAUGUGGAGGAACACCAGUGGCGAAGGCGGCUUUCUGGUCUGUACUGACGCUGAGGAGCGAAAGCGUGGGGAGCGAACAGG